UAAGGCUUUAAGGCUUUACUGAUUAAUGUGAAACAAAGGCCGGAUGGUAGGAAGGCUCCCAAUUUCAGUGCCAUUCCAAAAUUACCCCUCGACAACGAGGUAGCACUGGCGGAGUUUGAAUCUUGGCUCGAGGUGGAUUCAAAUCGCGAAUUACUGGUUGAAUAUUUGGCAUUUUCAACUGCGACACAGAUCGAGGCGAGCACUAGAAAAAUCUUUAAAAAAUUAUUUACGAAUGAAUUUGGCAGGCGAAUUAAUUUUACGGGUAAAGGAAACAAGACAUCGAUGAAAAACCUAAAACUAUUGGAAGUCGUAAAAGAAACCGUGCGAAACGUCUUUACAGUUGAGUCCGUUCCCGAUCCCAAAAAUCCCAGCGGCCGUAUUCCCACCGAUGAUAUAAUUCAAACUGCAGCAAUGAAUUGGUUUCGUUCUUCAAAAAGUAGGUGCAACGACGACGCUCCCUCGGGAAUUGCAUCAUAAUCAUGGAUCGAGAUGGAAAAUCACCGAGAAACAUUAGGCGAAUAAUUGCAAAACGGGUUAGAGAGAAUCUCACUCGUGCAAAAAACAUACCUGCUAUUAGUAAUAAUCUUGUAAAUUUAGAUAUAUGUGACUCUGUCGUUGAGGAUAGCGAUUCAGGUAGUAAUAUUAGCAAUAAUGAUAGAAGCAGUAAUGUUAUCCAUAAUAUUAACGAGCCAUUAGUUUCCGAUUCACUAAGCGACAAUGGUGUAGUAGAAAAUAAUAGGAAUAUUUUAGAUUUAACACGGGACUUGAGGGACUGGUCGCUUCGACAUAACAUAACGGGAGUAGCUUUAAACGAUCUUCUACGCAUAUUUAACUUUUAUCAAGAAUUU